CCGGAGCUGUGUCGACCUGAGGCCAGGAGCCAGGAACUUCCUCUGGGUCUCCCAUAUGGGUGCAGGGGCCCAAGGACUUGGGCCAUCUUCUGCUGCUUUCCCAGGCCAUAGCAGAGGAAUGGAGCAGCCAGGACUCGAACUGGCGUCCAUAUGGGAUGCAGUGCCGGCAACGCUGGCCCCGCCUGGAUUCUCUGUUGUGUGAAGAUCAGCGCCCCUGAGCCGCUGGGCUCUGCUCACAGAUCUGGUUCUUCCCUGUUCGCCCAGUGACCCCAGUCAUCAACCCAAGUUUCCUCGGGCCCCGGGUCUGCAAAGGGCUUCCGCACCUCCACGGCCUCGGAGCCCCUGAGUGAGUCCUCACAAGCCUCCCCUCCUUCCUUCUCCUCGCAGCUGUGCGUCCCACCCUGGAUGCCCCCAGCCCCUUCCCGGCCGGCCCUGGAGGGAAGCCCUCACCAGAGAGAACCCUGACCUUGGCUGUGAUUCGGAGCAGGCUUCUCGGGAAAACCAGGCUGGGCGCGAACCAGGUCGUCUCGCAGAGGAGUGGCCCCCCGUGACCUCAGGAGGGGGCUGGCCCAGCGUGGGUGUGUGGGGUGGGCGGGGAGAGAGCGGGAGCAGGGGUGCCAUCCCCAGCCAGUGCCCGGCUGCCCGCCCGGGAGCUGGUGGCACUGAGGCAGCCGGCUGGCAGCUUUGCCCUGGGCCUGGCCUGGCUGACCACUGUGGGCCUGGAGGGAGGGGGACCUCGACCACCUCAGCCCCCUGCUUCACACACUCUGCCCCUGCCAUGCACUCCCCCGCCACCAACUGUUCUAGUGGCCACACAAUGCAGCCAUUCAAAUCCACGGACAGAAGAAUAGCCGGCAAAGUCGGGGAAAGUUCACCCAUUCAAUGGAAAAGGCAGGGCACAAAACGGCAGAUGCUCCUUUGGUAAAAUACACAGUCAAACGAACAUGGAAACUGACAUCACACAAACGGAAAAACACCAGCAAACCUGCAAGGGUGUGAGUCCAAACAGAAAACCUGACCGUGAGUGAACCUAAACACCGGGGGUCGCCACAGAGAGGGAAUACUCAGUUUUAUCGGGAAGUUGUAAUCAGGAGAACCUAGGCGGAAAUCAUCACAAGACACUGAGCCCCAAAGCAGUACAGAGAGGUUCAGCAACUUGUCUCAGGUCCCACAGCUCAGAAAGGCAGGGAUGGGGUUGAACCUAAGCAGCCUGGCUGGAGGAAGAGGCACUGGCAGGGACCACAUAUCUGCAGGUGCGGGAGCAGGGAGAGCCGGGCUCCUCUGUGGCUUUCCUCUCUUUCUCUGCCUUUUUGUGUUUUUCAGCUGUUCUGCAAAGAACUGGUUACGUUUGCUGGUAAUGCACCUCCACUCCCACCCCACACAAAAGAAAUGGCAAUCUUGAAAGCAACAAAGCCAGGCUAAAGCCUUCCAGGAAGUGACUCCUCCUGCAGCCCUGGGAAUCCGGCCUGCCCAGGGCUGGUGAUCAAAGGGUGUGCCCAUUCUUGGUGAUGACUGCGGAAAUAUUGGCGUGUGCGCGGGACCAGCUUCUUUGCUCAUGGACAUUUAGGUUCUUCAGGUCAUUCCAACAUGGCGGCAGCCUCGGCUCGUCCAUCACGCAUAAUAUGGAAACUCCAUGAAACCUUCCCAGAGAUCACCGAGUACACUGAAGCCCCGCCCAGACUCCACCUGCUUUAUGGGGCCACCCGGUAAAGAGACAGUCGGAAGUUACCGGUGCGGCCGCUGGGAGGAAGGCUGCCCAGUCGCUUGGGAGUGCGGAGUACCGCCUUAAUCCCUUUAAAUAAACCCUGCUCUCGUUC